CUCUCUCCAAGGCUGCUUCCGUUUAUUUAGAGGAGGUGCUGGCUAAAUCUCCCCGCGUCUGAUAAUGGACGAGACAAGACUGAUUUGCCAACCAACAGAAAUCAUGUUUCAGGAUGCCAAGUGGGUUGAUGGAACUUGGGAUCUGAAACAGUUCGAGAAAGAAGGCAAAACAGAUUGGAUUCAGUAAUAGUUGCUGGAUUAAAAGAAGAAUGUCUGUCAAGGCUAGGCUAUAUAAAUGGUUUAACUCCAUCCGAUAUGCUUAUGUUGAUGAAACGUGGCGGCCAAAUUAUAGAUACCGGAAUUCUACAAAAUCAGUCACAAAAACUUGAAUACUUUGAGGUUGUUGAAGGGAUUCCAAGAUCAAGGACAGAUACAAUCAUGCAACGUGGAUGCUUGACGUCAGUACUCUUUCAAUAGAGUCACAAAUGAGUGUGCACUUUGCUCAGCUAUUCACCAACUCCUCUCUUUAUCGGAGGAACUCACCAAAGAGCUCAAUGCUCCACCACCAGGAUCGAAAGAUCUCUACUUCCAAACUCAGUACUCGCAGCCAUCUUUGACUCAAACCAAAGCUUGCGUCUUGAAACAGUAUUGGUCUAACUGGAGAUAUCCUCAGGACAAUGCCAUCUGGUUUCUCACGACAAUAUUUGCGUCAUGUUUGGUUUGGUUUCUUGCUUCUCACUGAAUAUAUAGUUUUAUUGAGUUUGCAGUCUUAUUGUAUCAUCGGUUUGCAAUUUUUAGUUUUAUCUUUUUCCUGGGUUUUGAUUCACUGAUUUUCUUAUGCAGCAGAAGAGCUCUGGAA